rnacentral:lncRNA from 1 species
UCUCUCUCCGGCCCUGUCCGCUGUGUCCUCUCUGCGGUCCCUCCUCUCUCCGUCUGGUGCAGGCUCGUGUUAUCUCUCAGCUUUCCUACCUUUCCCCCUCGCAGGCGCCUCCACCUUCCUGGCCGAGCCCGGCCUACCCUCUGGAGCCGCUCCUGUCUGCUGGGCUCGCUCCGUCCCACACCCCUGGGUGUCUCAGCACUAACCCGGUUCCCCAUACCUCUCCUUAGGAGCUUCUGCAGCUUCACAGAAACAGCUGGAGAGCAGGUACAAACUGUAUUGGAAUAAUUGUCCCCUUCAGGAAAAUACGCAAUUUAGAAAUGGCGUGUGUGAUGAGGUGUAAAAGUUCAUUCUUGAGAUUCUUAGGAAUUUUUGGCCAAGGUGACUGAUUCACAAAGGAGUUAGUGACAGAGAGAGAAAAGAUAGAGCAAAGAACCCAAGUACGUACACCAAUUCUCCUUCCACAGCAUUGCUAUGGUCCCAUAAGAAUGGAGUAUGCCAUGUACUGCAAAGGCUAUGUUUAGCUCAGCUGCCAAAUCCUUUCCUCCUGUUAAUCUUUGUUCUCUCAAUCCCUUCCUCUCCCUGUAGCUGAAUCAUACAAGUUUCUAACUAUAAAAUCUCCUGAUGGAAAAACCAAAAAGAAGUAUUGACAGUGGGGAGAAGCUGGAUUGAUGUCUCAGCAGGCAAAUAUGACACAAGACACCCUCUUUAAAGCUCUCCUGAGCAACCGCAUUGAAGGAGAAGUGAAACAGCAAUUGCUCGUGGCAAUACACAGGGAGGCAAGAUUUUAAUAUAGCACCACUGUCACAUUCAGGUAAAAAUGGUCAAGUGUACAAGAAGGCUACAAAGUGCAAUAAAUUUGGCUACAUCUAACAUCAAAC